GUAACAAAAAGCCUAACAUAAAGAAAGUUUGGGUCCAUAGUACACAUUAGGGAAGGGGUACUAGAAGUCUAUUGGAAAAGGUGGAAAACUGUCUUGGUAGCAGCUUCUUGUUCUUUUCUUGCUCUCAGGUAAGCUAUUUUCUUUUCUUUUUUUUUUAAGACUAGUCAAGUGCAGUAGUGAGAAGGAGGGAAAGAGUAGAACAAGGAGUUUGAUCUGUAACUGACUGUGAACAAUCAAUUGAGAUCACUCACUACCUUUGGACCAGCCUGUCCCAGCACUUUGGAAGGCCAAGGAAGGAGGAUCACUUGAGGCCAAGAGUUCAACACCAGCCCAGAAAUAUUUGGAGGUGUCUAAUGAACAAUGAAAUGGCUGAGAGGCAGGCAGGAAGCCACAGAGGUGAGGAGCAGGAGCGAAUGAUAGAAAUAAUCCACUAGGUCUGAAACAAUGAACAAUGAAGAAUUCAGUGUAUUUCUACUUUUCAAGGUAAGGGAAGAGGAAAAUAAUAGUUACAUUAGCUUAGGUAAUGACAGUAAUUAGUAGUUGCAUGCUUUUACUAGGCCAGGCCCAGUACCUGCACCGUAUUUUAUUUCUAUGAUCUCUCAGCAGUUCUGCAAGGGUGACAUUAUAGUUAUUUUAAAGAAGGAAAGUUAAAGACUUAGAGUGUUUCGUACCUUGCCCAGGCCCACAUAGCAAGGCUAGCCUGGAUUGGAACCCAGAUUCAAUACCCUUCUAUUUCACAGUAGGUCUCCUCUGUACCAGUCCUUAGAAUCUAGUAUGAAACAGUGCAGAUUCUCCAAAUGGGAAAAUGUUAGUAUAGCAGUUUAAAACAUACUAAAUAACAUUCUAGAGGAAUAUAUAGGAU
rnacentral:lncRNA from 13 species